rnacentral:rRNA from 1 species
GUCCUCUUGAUUGUAUAUGAGGUCAGACCUGCCCGGUGAAUUUUAUUUUAACGGCCGCGGUAUUUUGACCGUGCAAAGGUAGCAUAAUCAUUAGUCUUUUAAUAGGAGGCUGGAAUGAAGGGUUUGACGAGGUGUUGACUGUCUCAUUUAAUUUGAAAUUAAAAUUUAACUUUUCAGUUAAAAGGCUGAAAUUGUAUUGGAAGACGAGAAGACCCUAUAGAGCUUUAUAGUCGUGGUUUUAACUAAUUAUUGUUUAAUUAUUAUUUUUUUAAAAUUACGUCUAUUUUGUUGGGGUGACAAAAAUAUAAAAGUAACUUUUCUAUUUAUUGGUCAUUGAUUUAUGUACUUUAGAUCCAAUUUUAUUGAUUGUUAGAAUAAGUUACCUUAGGGAUAACAGCGUAAUCUUCCUUCAGAGUUCAUAUUUACAGGAAGGAUUGCGACCUCGAUGUUGGAUUAAGAUAAUAAUUAGGUGUAGCCGCUUAAUUUAUAGGUCUGUUCGACCUUUAAAUUCUU